AUUGAACGCUGGCGGUAUGCUUAACACAUGCAAGUCGAACGCGAACGCAUCUUCGGAUGUUAUUAGAGUGGCGGACGGGUGAGUAACGCGUGGGAAUCUGCCUGGUAGUGGGGGACAGCCCGGAGAAAUCCGGAUUAAUACCGCAUAUCUUCUACGGAAGAAAGGCUUCGGCCGCUACCAGAUGAGCCCGCGUUAGAUUAGCUAGUUGGUGAGGUAAAGGCUCACCAAGGCAACGAUCUAUAGCUGGUCUGAGAGGACGAUCAGCCACAUCGGGACUGAGACACGGCCCGGACUCCUACGGGAGGCAGCAGUGGGGAAUAUUGGACAAUGGACGAAAGUCUGAUCCAGCAAUACCGCGUGUGUGAAGAAGGCCUGAGGGUUGUAAAGCACUUUCAGUUGGGAAGAUAAUGACGUUACCAACAGAAGAAGCACCGGCUAACUCCGUGCCAGCAGCCGCGGUAAUACGGAGGGUGCAAGCGUUAAUCGGAAUUACUGGGCGUAAAGCGCGCGUAGGCGGUUAUUUAAGUCAGAUGUGAAAUCCCUGGGCUCAACCUGGGAACUGCAUCUGAUACUGGGUAACUAGAGUUUUGGAGAGGUAAGUGGAAUUUCCGGUGUAGCGGUGAAAUGCAUAGAGAUCGGAAGGAACACCAGUGGCGAAGGCGACUUACUGGCCAAAAACUGACGCUGAGGUGCGAAAGCGUGGGUAGCGAACAGGAUUAGAUACCCUGGUAGUCCACGCCGUAAACGAUGUCAACUAGUCGUUGGUCUCCUUGAGGGAUUAGUGACGCAGCUAACGCAAUAAGUUGACCGCCUGGGGAGUACGCACGCAAGUGUAAAACUCAAAGGAAUUGACGG
rnacentral:rRNA from 1 species